AAGGUAGCCACAUCUGCUGCUUGCCCCCGCAUCAGCCCAGUAUGGUGCAGAUUCAAAAGGGCCACAAUUCCCGGGACACUUGCUAAGGGCUCGCUGGAGACGUACCAAGAAUAAAUAGCGAGCAGACAGUAAGCUCUCAUCCCAGGAACAGCUUUCAGUCAUCUCUCCCUGAACCACUGUUGCAUCAGGACCUACAGAAGUAAGUUCUGUAUGUGACAGAUCACUUCUACUAGAAGAACUGUUUUACAGCAGAGCUGGAAAAGACUAAAAAUCAUGAACAAAUUAAAAGAUCUCACAUUACCUACAUAUACAAGGAUUUAAGCAGUAUGAGCAGCAUCUAGGAUUCAGCUUCUGCCAGUUCCUAAGAAGCAAAUCAAG